GGCGGCGAAGAGGACGGCGUGGACAACAGCGACGCGAACCCCGAGGACUUGUACUCGAAACCGGAA
rnacentral:ribozyme from 1 species